UACGUAGGUGGCAAGUGUUGUCCGGAUUUACUGGGCGUAAAGGGCGCGCAGGCGGUUUGUUAAGUCUAGGGUGAAAGCUCCCGGCUCAACUGGGAGAGGUCCUUGGAUACUGGCGAACUUGAGGGAUGCAGAGGAAAGUGGAAUUCCCGGUGUAGUGGUGAUAUGCGUAGAUAUCGGGAGGAACACCAGUGGCGAAGGCGGCUUUCUGGGCAUUUCCUGACGCUGAGACGCGAAAGCGUGGGGAGCGAACCGG
rnacentral:rRNA from 1 species